rnacentral:rRNA from 1 species
AACAGAAGGGGCGAGCGUUGUACGGAGUCACUGGGCGUAAAGCACGCGCAGGCGACAACCUAAGUGUCGUGUGAAAGCCCCCGGCUCAACCGGGGGAGGCCAUGGCAAACUGGGUCGCUCGAGCUGCGGAGAGGCCCCUCGAAUUGCCGGUGUAGCGGUGAAAUGCGUAGAGAUCGGCAGGAAGACCAAGGGGGAAGCCAGGGGGCUGGCCGCAGGCUGACGCUGAGGCGCGACAGCGUGGGGAGCAAACCGG